rnacentral:rRNA from 1 species
CCUACGGGAGGCAGCAGUGAGGAAUAUUGGUCAAUGGACGAGCGUCUGAACCAGCCAAGUAGCGUGAAGGAUGACUGCCCUAUGGGUUGUAAACUUCUUUUAUAUGGGAAUAAAAUGUUCCACGUGUGGGAUUUUGUAUGUACCAUAUGAAUAAGGAUCGGCUAACUCCGUGCCAGCAGCCGCGGUAAUACGGAGGAUCCGAGCGUUAUCCGGAUUUAUUGGGUUUAAAGGGAGCGUAGGUGGAUUGUUAAGUCAGUUGUGAAAGUUUGCGGCUCAACCGUAAAAUUGCAGUUGAAACUGGCAGUCUUGAGUACAGUAGAGGUGGGCGGAAUGCGUGGUGUAGCGGUGAAAUGCUUAGAUAUCACGAAGAACUCCGAUUGCGAAGGCAGUUCACUGGACUGCAACUGACACUGAGGCUCGAAAGUGUGGGUAUCAAACAGGAUUAGAUACCCUUGUAGUC